rnacentral:rRNA from 1 species
UGAGGGAUAUUGGUCAAUGGGCGCAAGCCUGAACCAGCGACGCCGCGUGGGUGAAGAAGGUCUUCGGAUCGUAAAGCCCUUUUCCCACUGAAGAGGAAGGACGGUAGGUGGGGAAGAAGUCUCGGCUAACUACGUGCCAGCAGCCGCGGUAAAACGUAGGAGACAAGCGUUAUCCGGAGUUACUGGGCGUAAAGGGCGUGCAGGUGGCGUCUUAAGUCUGUUGUGAAAGCGCCUGGCUUAACCGGGCGAGGCCAAUGGAGACUGAGAGGCUGGAGGACGGCGGAGGGGUGUGGAAUUCCGGGUGUAGUGGUGAAAUGCGUAGAGAUCCGGGGGAACACCAGAGGCGAAGGCGGCACUCUAAGCCGUACCUGACACUGAGACGCGACAGCACGGGGAGCAAACG